rnacentral:lncRNA from 1 species
AAAUAUAUAAUGUAUGCAGAGUCUCUUUCUUUCUUGUAUUAUCAGUCAGUUAUCAUUGACAGUGCAUUUAGAACAGAUUCUUCGGAGCUGCUUGCUGGGAAAUUCUAUACGAAAGCGUGAAGAAGCUGAAGUCAACCCAAGUACCGAUGACACUUUCCGUCGACGUCAUCAACGACCAUGAUUCCCCUCUUCUCUCCACGGUCGAUAAAGGCACUGCUAUAUACUUUUUCGUCAACUCCCCUCCUCAUCGGUAUGUUUAUCUUCCCAGUCUGUUUGAACUGUGGUUUCCAUUUUCAUGCAUCAUUGUUCGAAAUUUCAUCCCAAGCUUCCAGAUUUUGAUGUUAAAUCCCACUUGUUUGACAAUAAAAGCAAAAAUACUAAUUCAAAUCCAAAAGUAAUACAAGAAUAUGUGUUGUUGCUGGUCAGUGGAUUUUGGGUUCUAGUAUUAGUGUUUUUAUAUAGAGUAAAUUGUAGUAAUGGUCCCUCAACUUUAAUCAAAUUGGAGCAAUGGUCCCUCAACUAAAAAUCCAUUACCAUUGGUCCCUCAACUUAUCAAAAUGUGUGGCAAUAGUCAUUUUCAUCAAUUUUGUCAAAAUUUUGUCAAAAUAAGUUAUGUUGGAAUAACCAUUUAUAUAAUUAGGAUCCCUCAACUCAUCAAAUUGUGUGAUUAUGGUCAUUUUCGUCAACUAUGUCAAAAUUUUUGUCAAAACGAGUUAUAUUGGAAGGACCAUUGCUAUAAUUGGAUUAAAGUUAAGGGACCACUUCUCCAGUUGAAUUAAAGUUGAGGGAUCAAUGGUAAUGAAUUUUUAGUUAAAGGAUCAUAGCUGCGCGUUUUGAUGAGUUGAGGGAAAUGGUAGUUGAUUUUUAGUUGAAGGAUCAUUGUUCCAAUUGAGUUAAAGUUAAGGAACCAUAGCUACAAUUUACUCUUUUAUCUAAAGCUAGUAGUCAUAAAUGGUGAAUCAUUUAUAAUUUUAAAAAUACUCCUCUCUAAUUAGGAUUUUAAAAUAAAACAAUUUAAUUUCAAAAAAAAUCCAAAUUAACAGAAUAAAACUACCCGCGUCAAAGGCAAAUUUAGUAGUUUAGUAGGAGAAAUUUUUUAUUGUGACGGGAACACGGAUGGUACAUCCUGUGUUUUUAUGUAAGUGAUGAGAAAUUUUAUUUUUUAAGUUAUUAACUUUUUAACACACAUAUCUCAUCAUUUGUAUAGUGACAAGUGGUGUACCACUCAGUAUGCCGGUCACACUGUUUAGUAGAGAGAUUUUAUUAAUUAAGUGUAUAAAGACAAUAAUUGAGUUCAAAUAAGAUUUCUCUUAAUAAAAUCAAUUGGUUGAAUCGUAGUAUCUUUCCCGCCUAUUCAAUUUGUUUUACACUACGAAUUUAAUGUUACCUCCAAUUUCUUUUCCUUUAAAUAAUCUAAAUCACAUGAAAACACAUAAUAAAAUGACAAAAAAAGAGAGGAAAAUAUCCAUACUCCAUUUUAUUUGACUGAGAAAAAUGAAUUUGUAUGCAAGCCAAGAAAAAAUUCAUUUGAUAUUGUCACAAAAUUUACACGGUAAGACUCUUGUAAUUAAUUCGAUUCUGUGUAGAACAUGUGUAAACAAAAAAAAAGAAUAAUUAGAUUAAAAAAAAUGAAAAAAUGGCUGCUGUGUGUGAUUUACUGUGCAGAAGUGCGAGACUUCUUCUCCCAUGGCAGCAACCUAGUUACAGGAUCAACGAAGUACCCCAGAACAAAGUCCUUCAGCCCGGUGUCCCAAACCUCACAGAACCUCAGCCGCCAAUUGGACGGCUCAACCGCCUCCGUCCCCAGCCCCGGC